rnacentral:rRNA from 1 species
UACGUAGGUGGCAAGCGUUAUCCGGAAUUAUUGGGCGUAAAGAGCGCGCAGGUGGUUAAUUAAGUCUGAUGUGAAAGCCCACGGCUUAACCGUGGAGGGUCAUUGGAAACUGGUUGACUUGAGUGUAGAAGAGGGAAGUGGAAUUCCAUGUGUAGCGGUGAAAUGCGUAGAGAUAUGGAGGAACACCAGUGGCGAAAGCGGCUCUCUGGCCUGUAACUGACACUGAGGCUCGAAAGCGUGGGGAGCAAACAGG